rnacentral:rRNA from 1 species
GGGGCCCGCACAAGCGGUGGAGCAUGUGGUUUAAUUCGACGCAACGCGAAGAACCUUACCAGGGCUUGACAUCCCCUGACCGCGUAUGAAAGUACGUUUUCACCCUCGGGUGACAGGGAGACAGGUGGUGCAUGGUUGUCGUCAGCUCGUGUCGUGAGAUGUUGGGUUAAGUCCCGCAACGAGCGCAACCCCUACGUUUAGUUGCUAACGCGUGAAGGCGAGCACUCUAGACGAACUGCCGUUGACAAAACGGAGGAAGGUGGGAUGACGUCAAAUCAUCAUGCCCCUUAUGUUCUGGGCUACACACGUGCUACAAUGGCCGGUACAGACGGACGCAAAGCCGCGAGGUGGAGCAAAUCCUAAAAAGCCGGUCUCAGUUCGGAUUGCAGGCUGCAAUUCGCCUGCAUGAAGUCGGAGUUGCUAGUAAACGCAGGUCAGCUAUACUGCGUUGAAUACGUUCCCGGGCCUU